rnacentral:ncRNA from 1 species
AAUAGGCUUGGUCCUGGCCUUUCUAUUAGCUCUUAGCAGGAUUACACAUGCAAGCAUCCCCGUUCCAAGACGCCCUACAAAUCAUCAUGACCAAGAGGAGCAAGCAUCAAGCACGCACACGCAGCUCAAAACGCUUUGCCUAGCCACACCCCACGGGAGACAGCAGUGACAAAUAUUUAGCAAUAAACGAAAGUUCAACUAAGCCAUGCUAUUUAGGGUUGGUCAAUUUCGUGCCAGCCACCGCGGUUACACGAUUAACCCCAGCUAAUAGGGAUCGGCGUAGAGGGUGUUUAAGAUCUAAAGCUAAACUCCACCUAAACUGUAAAACCCUAGCUAAUGUAAAAUAAACUACGAAAGUGGCUUUANAGCUUCUGAACACACAAUAGCCAAGACCCAAACUGGGAUUAGACACCCNACUAUGCUUGGCCCUAAACCUCAGUAGUUUAACAAAACUACUCGCCAGAAUACUACAAGCAACAGCUUAAAACUCAAAGGACUUGACGGUGCUUUACACCCCCUAGAGGAGCCUGUUCCGUAAUCGAUAAACCCCGAUCCACCCCACCCUCUCUUGCUCAGCCUAUAUACCGCCAUCUUCAGCAAACCCUAAUGAAGGCUACAAAGUGAGCGCAAAGCCGCGAAUACGUUAGGUCAAGGUGUAGCCCAUGAGACGGAAAAAUGGGCUACAUUUUCUACUUCAGAAAACCACGAAAACCCUUAUGAAAUUAAGGGUCCAAGGAGGAUUUAGCAGUAAAUUAAGAAUAGAGUGCUUAAUUGAACCAGGCCAUAAAGCGCGCACACACCGCCCGUCACUCCUCUCAAAUAUAUUUAAGGAAUAUAAACGCCCUAAUAUUUAUAUAGAGAGGAUAAGUCGUAACAUGGUAAGCGUACUGGAAGGUGCGCUUGGAUAAAU